rnacentral:rRNA from 1 species
GCAGCAGCCACGGUAAUACGAAGGGUGCAAGCGUUAAUCGGAAUUACUGGGCGUAAAGCGUGCGUAGGCGGUGAGUUAAGUCUGCUGUGAAAUCCCCGGGCUCAACCUGGGAAUGGCAGUGGAUACUGGCUCGCUAGAGUGUGUCAGAGGAUGGUGGAAUUCCCGGUGUAGCGGUGAAAUGCGUAGAGAUCGGGAGGAACAUCAGUGGCGAAGGCGGCCAUCUGGGACAACACUGACGCUGAGGCACGAAAGCGUGGGGAGCAAACAGGAUUAGAUACCCCGGUAGUCCCUGUCUCUUAUAC